GAUGAACGCUGGCGGCGUGCCUAAUACAUGCAAGUCGAGCGAACAGACGAGGAGCUUGCUCCUCUGACGUUAGCGGCGGACGGGGGAGUAACACGUGGAUAACCUACUUAUAAGACUGGGAAAACUUCGGGAAACCGGAGCUAAACCCGGAUAAUAUCUUGAACCGAAUGGUGAAAUGUGAAAAGACGGUUUUUGUGUAACUAAUAGAUGGUUCUGCGCCGCAUUAGCUAGUUGGUAAGGUAACGGCUUACCAAGGCAACGAUGCGUAGCCGACCUGAGAGGGUGAUCGGCCACACUGGAACUGAGACACGGUCCAGACUCCUACGGGAGGCAGCAGUAGGGAAUCUUCCGCAAUGGGCGAAAGCUUGACGGAGCAACGCCGCGUGAGUGAUGAAGGUCUUCGGAUCGUAAAACUCUGUUAUUAGGGAAGAACAAAUGUGUAAGUAACUAUGCACGUCUUGACGGUACCUAAUCAGAAAGCCACGGCUAACUACGUG
rnacentral:rRNA from 1 species